AGAGUUUGAUCCUGGCUCAGGACGAACGCUGGCGGCGUGCUUAACACAUGCAAGUCGAACGAGAAGCAACGGAUAGAGGAUUCGUCCAAUUGAAGUUGUGGAAAGUGGCGGACGGGUGAGUAACGCGUGAGUAACCUGCCUUUCAGAGGGGGACAACAGUUGGAAACGACUGCUAAUACCGCAUAACGCAUAGAGGCCGCAUGGUCUUUAUGCCAAAGAUUUAUCGCUGAAAGAUGGACUCGCGUCUGAUUAGCUAGUUGGCGGGGUAACGGCCCACCAAGGCGAUGAUGGGUAGCUGGUCUGAGAGGACGACCAGCCACACUGGGACUGAGAACUGCCCAGACUCCUACGGGAGGCUGCAGUCGAGAAUUUUGGGCAAUGGACGAAAGUCUGACCCAGCAAUGCCGCGUGCGGGAUGAAGGUCUUCGGAUUGUAAACCGCUGUUGAGAGGGACGAAAUAUGACGGUACCUCUAGAGGAAGCCACGGCUAAUUACGUGCCAGCAGCCGCGGUAAUACGUAGGUGGCGAGCGUUGUUCGGAUUUAUUGGGCGUAAAGGGUCCGCAGGGGGUUGAUUAAGUCUGACGUGAAAUCCCUGAGCUUAACUCAGGAACUGCGUUGGAGACUGAUUGACUGGAGUUUUGGAUAGGUGAUUGGAAUUUCAGGUGUAGCGGUGGAAUGCGUAGAUAUCUGAAAGAACAUCGAGAGCGAAGGCAGAUCACUGGACAAAUACUGACCCUCAGGGACGAAAGCAUGGGGAGCAAACAGGAUUAGAUACCCUGGUAGUCCAUGCCCUAAACGGUGUAAACUUGAUGUGAGAGGAAUUACUCCCUUUUGUGUCGAAGCUAACGCGAUAAGUUUACCGCCUGGGAACUACGGCCGCAAGGCUAAAACUCAAAGGAAUUGACGGGGGCCCGCACAAGCGGUGGAGCAUGUGGCUUAAUUCGAGGCAACGCGAAGAACCUUACCUAGAUUUGACAUUUACUGGACAGGUGUAGAAAUACACUCUCCCUUCGGGGCCGGUAAACAGGUGCUGCAUGGCUGUCGUCAGCUCGUGUCGUGAGAUGUUCGGUUAAGUCCGGCAACGAGCGCAACCCGUGUCAUUAGUUACCAUCAGGUAAUGCUGGGGACUCUAAUGAGACUGCCCGUGUUAAGCGGGAGGAAGGCGCGGAUGACGUCAAGUCCGUAUGGCCCUUACAUUUAGGGCUGCACACGUGCUACAAUGGGUGGUACAGAAGGAAGCAAAGUCGCGAGACAGAGCAGAUCCCCAAAGCCAUCCUUAGUUCAGAUUGCAGUCUGCAACUCGACUGCAUGAAGCCGGAAUCGCUAGUAAAGGCGUAUCAGCUACGACGCCUUGAAUACGUUCCCGGGCCUUGCACACACCGCCCGUCA
rnacentral:rRNA from 1 species